rnacentral:rRNA from 1 species
GACGAACGCUGGCGGCGUGCUUAACACAUGCAAGUCGAACGGAAAGGCGCGGCGUUUGUGUGGUGCUCGAGAGGCGAACGGGUGAGUAACACGUGAGUAACCUGCCCUUGACUUUGGGAUAACUUCAGGAAACUGGGGCUAAUACCGGAUAGGAGCUCCUGCUGCAUGGGGGGGGUUGGAAAGUUUCGGCGGUUGGGGAUGGACUCGCGGCUUAUCAGCUGGCUGGUGGGGUAGUGGCUGACCAAGGCUUUGACGGGUAGCCGGCCUGAGAGGGUGACCGGCGACCUUGGGCCUGCGAGACGGACCAGAAUGCUACGGGAGGCAGCAGUGGGGAGUAUUGCACAAUGGGCGGAAGCCUGAUGCAGCAACGCCGCGUGCGGGAUGACGGCCUUCGGGUUGUAAACCGCUUUCGCCUGUGACGAAGCGUGAGUGACGGUAAUGGGUCAAGAAGCACCGGCUAACUACGUG